rnacentral:rRNA from 1 species
AUUGAACGCUGGCGGCAGGCCUAACACAUGCAAGUCGAGCGGCAGCGGUAAGUAGCUUGCUACUUUGCCGGCGAGCGGCGGACGGGUGAGUAAUGUCUGGGAAACUGCCUGAUGGAGGGGGAUAACUACUGGAAACGGUAGCUAAUACCGCAUAACGUCGCAAGACCAAAGAGGGGGACCUUCGGGCCUCUUGCCAUCAGAUGUGCCCAGAUGGGAUUAGCCAGUAGGUGGGGUAACGGCUCACCUAGGCGACGAUCCCUAGCUGGUCUGAGAGGAUGACCAGCCACACUGGAACUGAGACACGGUCCAGACUCCUACGGGAGGCAGCAGUGGGGAAUAUUGCACAAUGGGCGCAAGCCUGAUGCAGCCAUGCCGCGUGUAUGAAGAAGGCCUUCGGGUUGUAAAGUACUUUCUGCGGGGAGGAAGGCGUUGAGGUUAAUAACCUCAGCGAUUGACGUUACCCGCAGAAGAAGCACCGGCUAACUCCGUGCCAGCCGCCGCAGUAA